CCUACCUUUUACAGGGGAAUAGCCCAGAGAAAUUUGGAUUAAUGCCCCAUGGUAUUAUUGAAUGGCAUCAUUUAAUAAUUAAAGUUCCAACGGUAAAAGAUGGGCAUGCGUCCUAUUAGCUGGAUGGUAAGGUAACGGCUUACCAUGGCUACGAUAGGUAGGGGUCCUGAGAGGGAGAUCCCCCACACUGGUACUGAGACACGGACCAGACUCCUACGGGAGGCAGCAGUGAGGAAUAUUGGACAAUGGGCGCAAGCCUGAUCCAGCCAUGCCGCGUGCAGGAAGACGCAUCUAUGGUGUGUAAACUGCUUUUGUACGGGAAGAAACACCCCCUCGUGAGGGGGCUUGACGGUACCGUAAGAAUAAGGAUCGGCUAACUCCGUGCC
rnacentral:rRNA from 1 species